rnacentral:rRNA from 1 species
UAGCGAAGGGGGCUAGCGUUGUUCGGAAUCACUGGGCGUAAGGGCGCGUAGGCGGCCGAUCAAGUCGGGGGUGAAAGCCUGUGGCUCAACCACAGAAUUGCCUUCGAUACUGUUUGGCUUGAGACCGGAAGAGGUUAGUGAACUGCGAGUGUAGAGGUGAAAUUCGUAGAUAUUCGCAAGAACACCAGUGGCGAAGGCGGCUCACUGGCCCGGUACUGACGCUGAGG